CCAUACAUACACCACACAGUGCUACACACUAUCCACACUACACAUACACACAUCACACAUGUCACACAAACACACCACAUACAUAUACUACAGAAACACAUGACACGAAACACAUACACACACACACCAGAACAGUUAGGGUAAGCACUCAGACUCGUGGAUGCCAGCGAACCCAGGUGUGCCAGGCUGAAAAAAGUCAGUGCGGCCGGCAGCUCAGAAUCCCUGAACUUGAGACAUUGUUUCUUUUAGGGUAGUCUCUGUCAGAGACAAGCCAGGGGAUUUCUUUAAACAGAAGAACUCCUGGCACAGAAAUACAAUGUGAUUCACCCCCUAACAGAGUUUAAGCUCAGAGAAGCAGUUGUCUCACCUUGAGGUGUUUCAAGAGACAGAUCUCCUAAUGCAUUUCAAAUCAGGUUCCUCCAUGUAGUUCAGGAAAGCUACCUGAGGAUGAAGCCAAUAUAAAGAAAGUCGUACAAGGACAGGUGCUCUCUUUACGUGGACCCACCUGUGCUCUGCACCAACACUGAGAAAAGUGAGCAUAUGGUAACUUUAAAAGGAGCCAAAUUAUAAACUUCAGAUACUAAAUGCUCCAAGUUUUAAGGCUUGCUAAUCGUGCUGGACUUCCAUACUGUUUUCUUAUGUCUUGUAUCAUGCAGUAAUAAAAACAAUUCCACUGAGUUAAGGUUAUCCCUCGUAUUUCUGGCAUCUUCUGCAUGGCCGCGAG
rnacentral:lncRNA from 1 species